rnacentral:lncRNA from 1 species
GGUUACGGGCGGCCGCCGCGGCCUCGCAGCGGAGCCGUUUGGGCGGGAGCCGGCGAGGGAGCAGCGGCCGCAGCAUUUUAGUGGUUUAUAAAGAUUCCAGCAGUGCUCUGGGAAAGCGCAGCCUCCCGUUCCAGGCACCGUGUUCAGCACAGGAAUAUCCUGGCUCUCGACCUGCAGGUCUUGAGAUAAUCAUCUGACUCGCGUUCCAGAAGCGAAGCUCUUGUGGAUGUGUUUGAGAAGCCUGAAAAUAAAUAUAUUCACAUGUGU